GUCUACAGCCAUACUACCUUGAACACACCCAAUCUCAUCUGAUCUCAGAAGCUAAGCAGGGUCAGGCCUGGUUAGUACUUGGGUGGGAGAAUAGUCCCCGCAAAGUUCUCAAACUGCAGACG
rnacentral:rRNA from 1 species